rnacentral:rRNA from 1 species
UACGGGGGGGGGCAAGCGUUGUUCGGAAUUACUGGGCGUAAAGGGUGCGUCAGGCGGUCCGCUAAGUUGGAAUGUGAAAACUCUGGGCUUAACCCCAGAGCCUGCAUUCAAAACCUGACGGGCUAGAGUUCUGGAGGGGGUAGCGGAAUUCCUGGUGUAGCGGUGAAAUGCGUUAGAUAUCAGGAGGAACACCGGUGGCGAAGGCGGCUACCUGGACAGAAACUGACGCUGAGGCACGAAAGCUAGGGGAGCAAACAGGA